rnacentral:rRNA from 3 species
UGGCUGGUGUUCUAACGUGGGCCCGUGAACCGGGUUGCGGACAGUGUCUGGUGGGUAGUUUGACUGGGGCGGUCUCCUCCUAAAGAGUAACGGAGGAGCACGAAGGUUGGCUAAUCCUGGUCGGACAUCAGGAGGUUAGUGCAAUGGCAUAAGCCAGCUUGACUGCGAGCGUGACGGCGCGAGCAGGUGCGAAAGCAGGUCAUAGUGAUCCGGUGGUUCUGAAUGGAAGGGCCAUCGCUCAACGGAUAAAAGGUACUCCGGGGAUAACAGGCUGAUACCGCCCAAGAGUUCAUAUCGACGGCGGUGUUUGGCACCUCGAUGUCGGCUCAUCACAUCCUGGGGCUGAAGUAGGUCCCAAGGGUAUGGCUGUUCGCCAUUUAAAGUGGUACGCGAGCUGGGUUUAGAACGUCGUGAGACAGUUCGGUCCCUAUCUGCCGUGGGCGCUGGAAGAUUGAGGGGGGCUGCUCCUAGUACGAGAGGACCGGAGUGGACGCAUCACUGGUGUUCGGGUUGUCAUGCCAAUGGCACUGCCCGGUAGCUACAUGCGGAAGAGAUAAGUGCUGAAAGCAUCUAAGCACGAAACUUGCCCCGAGAUGAAUCUUCCCUGAGCCUUUAAGGCUCCUGAAGGAACGUUGAAGACGACGACGUUGAUAGGCCGGGUGUGUAAGCGCAGCGAUGCGUUGAGCUAACCGGUACUAAUGAACCGUGAGGCUUAACCUUACAACGCCGAAG